UUGAAGAGUUUGAUCAUGGCUCAGAUUGAACGCUGGCGGCAGGCCUAACACAUGCAAGUCGAACGGUAACAGGAAACAGCUUGCUGUUUCGCUGACGAGUGGCGGACGGGUGAGUAAUGUCUGGGAAGCUGCCUGAUGGAGGGGGAUAACUACUGGAAACGGUAGCUAAUACCGCAUAACGUCGCAAGACCAAAGAGGGGGACCUUCGGGCCUCCUGCCAUCUGAAGUGCCCAGAUGGGAUUAGCUAGUAGGUGG
rnacentral:rRNA from 1 species